rnacentral:rRNA from 1 species
GACGAACGCUGGCGGCGUGCUUAACACAUGCAAGUCGAACGGAAAGGCCCUGCUUGCAUGGUACUCGAGUGGCGAACGGGUGAGUAACACGUGGGUGAUCUGCCCUGCACUUCUGGAUAAGCCUGGGCAACUGGGUCUAAUACCGGAUAGGAGCCAUUUUUAGUGUGAUGGUUGGAAAGUUUUUUCGGUGUAGGAUGAGCUGGCGGCCUAUCAGCUUGUUGGUGGGGUAAUGGCCUACCAAGGCGGCGAAGGGUAGCCGGCCUGAGAGGGUGGACGGCCACAUUGGGACUGAGAUACGGCCCAGACUGCGAAGGGAGGCAGCAGGGGGGAAUAUUGCACAAUGGGCGCAAGGCUGAUGCAGCGACGCCGCGUGGGGGAAGACGGGCUUCGGGUUGUAAAAUCCUUUCGCUAGGGACGAAGCUUUUUGUGACGGUACCUAGAUAAGAAGCACCGGCUAACUACGUG